GCAUGGUGGCUUAGUGGUUAGCAUGUUGCUAACGUUGCACCUCCAGGGUUGGGGGUUCGAAUCCCACCCUGUGUG